GGGCAAUUAACUCAGUUGGGAGAGUGUCACCUUGACAUGGUGGAAGUCACAGGUUCGAGUCCUGUAUUGCCCACCA
rnacentral:tRNA from 1 species